UCCGGUUUGUCACCGGCAGUCUCGCAUGAGUCCCCGGCCGAACCGCUGGCAACAUGCGACGGGGGUUGCGCUCGUUGCGGGACUUAACCCAACAUCUCACGACACGAGCUGACGACAGCCAUGCACCACCUGUCAUGGGCCCUUUCGGACACCGUAUCUCUACGGCUUUUCCCAUGAUGUCAAACCCAGGUAAGGUUCUUCGGGUCGCAUCGAAUUAAGCCGCAUGCUCCGCCGCUUGUGCGGGGACCCGUCAAUUCCUUUGAGUUUUAGCCUUGCGGCCGUACUCCCCAGGCGGCGAACUUAAUGCGUUAGCUGCGGCACGGAGGGCAUGACACCCCCCGCACCUAGUUCGCACCGUUUACGGCGUGGACUAC
rnacentral:misc_RNA from 1 species